rnacentral:rRNA from 1 species
GAUGAACGCUGGCGGCGUGCCUAAUACAUGCAAGUCGAGCGAACAGACGAGGAGCUUGCUCCUCUGACGUUAGCGGCGGACGGGUGAGUAACACGUGGAUAACCUACCUAUAAGACUGGGAUAACUUCGGGAAACCGGAGCUAAUACCGGAUAAUAUAUUGAACUGCAUGGUUCAAUAGUGAAAGACGGUUUUGCUGUCACUUAUAGAUGGAUCCGCGCCGCAUUAGCUAGUUGGUAAGGUAACGGCUUACCAAGGCAACGAUGCGUAGCCGACCUGAGAGGGUGAUCAGCCACACUGGAACUGAGACACGGUCCAGACUCCUACGGGAGGCAGCAGUAGGGAAUCUUCCGCAAUGGGCGAAAGCCUGACGGAGCAACGCCGCGUGAGUGAUGAAGGUCUUCGGAUCGUAAAACUCUGUUAUUAGGGAAGAACAAAUGUGUAAGUAACUAUGCACGUCUUGACGGUACCUAAUCAGAAAGCCACGGCUAACUACGUG